AGAGUCAAACAGUACGUGAAAUUGUUGAAAGGGAAACGAUUGAAGUCAGUCAUACCUACGGGUAAUCAACCUUUUGAGCGUGAUUUUGCGGGUAACAAGGAGUUUAACCCCUUAUGUUUGCAUAUUCGUGCUUUUUGGGUGUACUUGCUCGUGCGGUAGGUUAACAUCAAUUUUGGUCGUCAUAAAAUGACGGGAGGAAUGUGGCUUCGAUCUCGUAUUGAAGUGUUAUAGCCUCUGGUAGAUGUGAUGAUCGGGAUUGAGGAUUGCAAUGGAUACCCUUUGGGGUUACCUGUCUGACCUCUGAAGGUUGCUCUGGUGCCGAAAGCUCGCUUACGGUUAUCAAAGUUAACAGUCAAAAGGUUAGAACGGGUUAAAUUCGUUAAGGAUGUUGACGUAAUGGCUUUAAACGA
rnacentral:misc_RNA from 1 species